rnacentral:snRNA from 1 species
AUACUUACCUGGCAGGGGAGAUGCCAAAGCAGUUGCCUUGCUUUCCCAGGGCAAGGCUUAUCCAUUGCACUUGGGAUGCGCUAACCCCUGCGAUUUCCCCAAAUGUGGGAAACUCGGCUGCAUAAUUUGUGGUAGUUUGCACUCGCCCCUGUUAU